AUUGAACGCUGGCGGCAUGCCUUACACAUGCAAGUCGAACGGUAACAGGUCUUCGGAUGCUGACGAGUGGCGAACGGGUGAGUAAUACAUCGGAACGUGCCCGAUCGUGGGGGAUAACGCAGCGAAAGCUGUGCUAAUACCGCAUACGAUCUACGGAUGAAAGCGGGGGAUCGCAAGACCUCGCGCGGACGGAGCGGCCGAUGGCAGAUUAGGUAGUUGGUGGGAUAAAAGCUUACCAAGCCGACGAUCUGUAGCUGGUCUGAGAGGACGACCAGCCACACCGGGACUGAGACACGGCCCAGACUCCUACGGGAGGCAGCAGUGGGGAAUUUUGGACAAUGGGGGAAACCCUGAUCCAGCCAUGCCGCGUGCAGGAUGAAGGCCUUCGGGUUGUAACGUAGC
rnacentral:rRNA from 1 species